AUCCUCAAGUUGGAUGGUCUCCCAUUUCUGUGCGAAGACCCUGUACUCAAACUGGACAUUAAAUCUUGCAGCAUAUUUUUUCAAGCGACGCCCCGUCUCGUCAACUCUUUCUGUAGGUCGAAAACCAGGUUGGGGAAGCUCAAUUGCUGUCAAACGUAUGCUAGGAGGUCCACCAUUUCUCUCCGAGAGGCGUUGGAUAAGGCAAGGCCAUUGGAAACCAUACGAAAUACCGAAAUCAACAAUGUGAAGCCUUGUUGCUUUUUCAGCUAGUUUAAUAAUUGUCCUGUUGGAAAAGAAGUGUAACAUAUGCUUGAAAGGGCAAUAAUUAACAUACAUCUGGUGGGCUUUUAAGAUUUCAGCGGCUGGUAUCUGUAUACUCAGAAGAGGUGAAUACGAUGGGGUUCUGGCUCCCACCAAGCGCGCCUCUAGGCCAUCAGCAAAGUAAUGAGCUAAUCUCUCGGUUGCAUCACCAUAGGGGGAAGAGUGCUUCCUUAUCUGCUUCAGUAGUUCACUCGCACUUCGUUGGUCAUAGCUUGCCGUGGCCUGUGCACAUUGAGUUAGCAGGGUGCUAAUAUCCACAACUUCCCGGUAGUUAUUCUGUUUCUUCAAGCGUGUUGUUUUAGACCCUUUUGACUGCUUGUUAGGCUGCAACUUCUCACUUCCCUCACUGCUCAAAGGUUUGUCACGAAUACAAGACCCAUGCGUAUGAUUCACAUGACAGAGUAAUACCCUAUCAAACAUUUCUUGUGGCUCAGUGUCGUCGCCUAAAGCAGCUGACUGCUUGUUGCUUCUCCCUCCAUCUUCAUAAUCACCAUCCUCCCUUUGAUGAUUCUUCUUUCCCUUCAAUCUGUUUGCUGAGAUGUAGCCAUCAUUCUCUGGCUCCGGUGCGGAAUUCCUCCUCAGUGUGUUAUCGCCCGGGGGAACUAAUUGGUACCUCUCCAAGUCAAUAAUUCCAUGUUUCAGGUUUGGAACGAGAUUUCCUGCCUCCCCAACUCCUCCAAAAUUCCCAGAAGUUGAGUUUGAAACCAAAAGGGUUUCUGAAGAAUCGAAAACCGAGUCUGUCUUAGCAGCCACAGAAUCAUUACUGCUAUAACUCUGUGAGGAAUCAUCAUCUGAGUGCUCAAAGCUUUGGUACACCGGAAGAGGCGGUUGGUCAGGCGAAGGAGGAUCCUUCGGAUUAAGGACAUCAUAGAAAGAUUUCUCAGCAGCUUGGAGGGCCAAACAGUUCUGCAACAUGCAAGGCUGAUCCUCCAAAUCUUCUUCCAGAAGAAUAUCACUUAUGUACUUGAUCACCGAAUGAUUACAGUCACUCAUGUCAAAAGAAUCUCCAUCUGAUCCCGGGUUCGAACACCCGGAAUCAGUUGGAUGCUCAGGGGUUGUUGGAAGGAAAAGUGGAUUGGUGGGUUCAUGAUUCACUUGGAAUUGAGUAGAACCAAAUUGGAAGUUCUGCAUGGGACUUGAUGAUCUUUCAAAAAGGGUAUCCAUAAAAACAACCAAUUUAGCAGAAACUGGUCAGAUUUAUCAGGUUUUUCAAGAAAACCCAAUUGAGAUAUUGGAUUUUUGGAACUGAUGGCCAAGAAAAGUUGGGGAAAACAAGAAAGUGAUAUAAUUUCAAUCUUAUAUUAUGCAAUUCACUCAGAAAAUAAGAUAUCAAUCCAAUUGGGUGAGUGAGAAAUACUCAAGAAAUAUAUACAGAUUUGAGGUUGUGGAACAUCAUCCAACAGGUUAUGAACAGAAUCAAGAUUUGAACAAACAAAAAUUGACAAUUCUCAGAGUACCUCUUGGUCUUUUGAGUUGCAAAAUACUUCACACCUGAGAAAAAAGCAACAGUGGAUUAUAAAAUUUGAUUGCAGGCAUAUACAAAAAUUAUAUAUAUGUAGUGAUUAUCCUUUGUUUCUUCAUUCAUACAUGCAUGAACAUUAACUUUCCGGGAAGGUCUUUUAAGUCUUUAGCCUUUAUUCUUUAACUCUUAAGGUUAGUCAAAGUCAGCAGCCACCCACCAGCUUUGUGUCUGUGUCCGGAAUUUAUGGGAUUUGCGUUGGAUGCUUGCUCUAUACAUCAACACAUUCUUUCACGAUAAUUCGCAUUUUUUUCUAACUGGUCGUAUCGUUUGUCAACAAACUACAAUUCUCACCAUAAGUGAUAAGUCAUACUUUCUAUCAAACUUAUUUACCAUGUGUGCUAGUAUACCAAUAUUAUAGCGUAACUAGUGCAUUGAAUAUACACGUAGUAAAUUAUACGAAAUUGAUAUACAAAUUAUAGGAAAUUGAUAUACAAAUUAUAGGCAAUUGAUAAGAAGUUUGAUCAAGCUCCAUAGGCAGAGAUGGAUAAGAGAAAAUUUAGAGUGAAAAAGAAGCUAUAAGAUAUAAUUCAAAGAGAAAACAAAUUUUGGGCACCACAUUGUGAAACUCCUAAGCAGGUUUCAAAGCAGAAAGAGCCAUGACAAUUCUUCCUUUCCAUCCCUGCAGCAUCCAGUGGCCAUCUUCAUCGAUUCGAAAAUCGUUGUGAUAGCGCAUCAACUUCAGCAUAGCUUUCACUUUCCUCAUGAGCUCCUGGUCUAGCGGCACCUGCUUGAACCCUGCCCGCUGAUACCUAACCUGCCAAUGCUUGUAUGUCUCCGGCCUUUCAACUCGUUCGAUCCCCUCGCAUGCUAUAACAUUCAUUAUGUCUCUACCAUAUACUGCUCCUUCAAACAUCAGCCGGUGUUCAUCUUCGCGAGGAAUAGUGGCCUCAAACAUAUCAAACAGCGAAGAGUAAUGGAAGAGUGCUUCUCUGAACCGCUUGACAAAGAAGGGCGAAUUGUAUGUCCCGUUGACAACUCCGUGAAUGAAAAGAUCUGGAUUUAUUUUCUUGAUCAAGUUAAGGACAGUGUCUCUCGGACUGCUCAUCACGACUGUUUCAUCAGGUAUGUGCCUUAAUCGGCGCAUACAGUUAACAACAGUCAGCUCAUUCCUGUCAACUUUAAGAUCCUCAAAUCGGAUAGUUUCCCAUUUCUGAGCAAUGACAUUAUACUCAAAUGGGACAACGAAUCUCUUAGCAUAUUUUUCUAAGCGACGCAUUGUCUCUUCAACCCUUUCAGUAGGUCGAAAACCUGGUUGGGGGAGCUCAAUUGCUGUGAAACGAAGAUUAGGAGGUCCACCACAUCUCUCCGAGAGGCGUUGGAUAAGGCAUGGCCAUUGGAAACCAUACGAAAUACCAAAAUCAAUAAUGUGAAGCCUCGUAGCAUUUUCCGCCAGUUUCAUAAUUGUUCUAUUGGCGAAGAAGUACAUCAUCUUCAUGAAAGGGCAUGAAGUAAUAUACACCUGGUGAGCUUUUAAGAUUUCGGUAGCUGGUGUCUGCGGACUUAAAAGAGGAGAAUAUGAGGGGGUUCUGGAGCCAGCCAACCGCGCCUCUAGGGCGUUAGCAAAGUAAUAAGCUAAUCUCUCGGUUGCCUCACCAUAGGGAGAAGAGUGCUUCCUUAUCUUCUUGAUUAGUUCACUCGCUGUUUGCUGGUCAUAGCUUGCCACAGCUUGUGCGCAUUGAGUCAGCAUUGUGCACAAAUCUACUACUUCCCUGUUCUUAUUCUUUGUCUUCGAGCGUGCUGCCUUAGAAACUUUUGGUUGCUUGUUGCACUUCAACUUCCCACUUCCGUCAGUUUUGACAGACUGAUCAUCAGAACAAGACUCAAACGCACGCCUCGCAUCCUUAUACAGCAAAACCUCAUCAAACAUUUCUUGUGGCUCGGGCCCAUCAGCAGAAGCAGCCGACUGUUUGUUGCUUCUCCCUUCUUCUGUAUAAUCGCCAUCCUCCCUCAGGUGAUUUUUCUUUGACUUCAAUCUAUAUGUUGAGUUGUAGGCAUCCGAUGAAGACUCAACCGGACAAGAUUGGAUAUGAGAGAUUUCUGAACCCGAAACCGAGUCUGUCCUAGCAGCAACACAGCCAAUACUAAUAUGGCAACUCUCUUUGAAAUCAUCAUCUGAGUUCUCAAAGCUUCGGUCCACCGGAAGAGGGGAUUGACUGGACGAAGGGCCCUUCGGUUUAAGAACAUCAUAGAAAGAUUUCUCGGCAGCUUGGAGGGCCAAGCAGUCCUGCAACAUGCAGGGCUUACCCUCCAAAUCUUCUUCCAAAAGAAUAUCGCUUAUGUACUUGAGCACGGGAUGAUUGCAAACACUAAUAUCAAAAGUAUCUCCAUCUGAACCCGAGCUCGAAAACUCGGAUUCACUUGGAUGGUCUGAGUUGGGCGGAAGGAAAAGUGUAUUGGUGGGUUCAUGGUUCACUUGGAAUCCAUUUACAAGAUUCUGGGACGAGCUCGAAUCACUAUGAUUGUGGUCCAAGUUUGUUGGAAGAAAAAUUGGAUUGGUGGAUUCAUGAUUUCCAAGAUUUUGAUUAGAUCCCUGACCAACAGUGAAUCUUUCCAUGGGAACAUAAAAUCUUUCAAAAAGGGUAUCCAUAAAAACAAUUAAUUUAGCAGGAACUCGUCUGGUUUCUUAGAUUUGAAGAACCUCAGCUGUGGUGUUGGAAUUUUGGAAAUGAUGAUCAGGAAGCUUUGGAAAGCAAGAACUGCAGCCAAUUGAGAGAGAGAGAGAGAGAGAGAGAAAAUAUCAGCUAGCAGAUUAUGAACACAAAUAAGAUUAAACAAGAAAAAAAAAGAAGAGAAUAUCUAGACAUACUGAAAUUGGUUAAAACAGUGUGCUCACUUCUCUUCUCGUCCGAACGUUCAAAUCCACUUCGCUGUAGUUGAGAUUUGAUUAGUUAGAAUAUCGCUCGAAUGAAAAUUAAAACCUGAAAUUCUUCACUCUUUGUUCUGUAUGUCUAAAAUCAAAAUGAAUCAGAGCGUCAGUGGAGGGAUAUAUAAACCUGUUCACAGUAAUGAAACAUUCAUCUGGGGGAGGUCCUUCCUCCUAAUAUAGGACAAAAUCAGCCGCCACCUUCUAAACAAAAUGGGAAAAACCAUAUAGACAUAUAUAGUGAAAAAGACCCUAAGCGUAAAGAUGAACUGCACUUGGGCUAAAACAACAAUAUGUGUAAAUCCGCGUGGGAUUAUUAUUGUCUUAACUUUAAAUAUUCACCACGCUAAUUUGUAUUUUAAUAGACGCUAACGGCUGACCAUCUUUUUGAUUAAUUCAUGGACGUUUGAAAAUUAAAAAAGAACGUCUAGAUAUGCCUAGGCGCAUAUGCCUAAACCGUGACUCUCAUUUAGACAGAAAAUCGAGAACUUUCGUUUUGCAUUUUAUUUUUUCAAUAAAUUAUAGGAGACUUGUUGAAUACUUGAAUAAAUACUCAUUAUAUGUUUGUUUUCCGUGUUUUCGAUAUGUUUUAAUACUUUAUAAUCUACAUGUCAUUUUAUUUGGCAAUUUAUGUAUCCCAAUACAAUUAUGUAUUUUUUAAGUAUAAAUAGUUAUUUAUUUAUAUGUUAGGUAAUAAAUUUAAUUAAUUAAAAAAACCGCUAGGUCCUACCUAAACGCCUAGGCGCUAGCCCCUGCAUAACGCCUGAGCAGCGCUUAGCGUAUUUUAGAACCUUGUUUCGGCUGGAAACCACUUGCAAUCGUGCUAACGUGUAAACAGCAAUAGCAGCCUCCCUGCUGCUAUUGACUAGUAACAGGUAAAAGUAAAAACAUUUCCUUCAAUUUAAACAAGAUUUGAAAGGUAACAUCCGUUUCUUCAUUCAAUAUGUUGAUUGAACCUAGUGAGUAAACGAGACGUACAGGAAAUAUUGAAGAUACAAGAAAAUACAGAUUUUAUGCAUCACAAAGUGAAACUCCUACGCAGGCUUCAAAGCAGUAAGUGCUAAGACGAUUCUUCCUUUCCAUCCCUGCAGCAUCCACUGGCCAUCAUCUUCAAUUAGGAAAUCACUAUGAUACCCCAUCACCUUCGACAUGGUCUUCACUUUCUUCAAGAGCGCUCGGUCUAACGGCAGCUGCUUGAACCCGAUCCUCGCAUACCUAGCCUGCCACUGCUUGUAUGUCUCCGGCCUUUCAACUCUCUCCUGCCCCUCGCACGCUACAACAUUUAUUAUGUCCCUCCCAAAUAUUGCUCUUUCAAACAACAUUCUUUGUUCAUCUUCGCGUGGAACAGUGGCCUCAUACAUAUCAAAGAAUGUGUAGAAGUGGAAGAGCGCCUGUUUGAACCGUGUGACAAAGGCGGGCGCAUUGUAUGUUCCAUUGACAACUCCGUGCAUGAAAAGGUCUGGAUUGAUUCUCUUGAUCAAAUUUAAGACAGCAUCUCUUGGAUUGUUCGCCAUCACUGUUUCAUCAGGAAUUUGCUUCAACCGGUGCAUGCAGUUAACCACGGUCACCUCAUUUCUGUCAAUACGAAAAUCCUCCAAUUGAAUGGUUUCCCAUUUCUUAGCAAUGACAUUGUACUCAAAUGGGACAUUAUACCUCUCACAGUAUUUAGUUAAGCGACGCCCCGUCUCUUCAAUUAUCUCGGCAGGUCGAAAGCCUGGUUGGGGAACCUCAAUUAAUGUGAUACAAAGUUUAGGAGGCCCGCCAGUUUUCUCUGAGAGACUUUGGAUAAGGCAGGGCCAUUGCAAACCAUAAGAAAUGCCGAAAUCAAUAAUGUGAAGCCUUGUCGCCUUCUCUGCUGUUUUCAUAAUUGUUCUGUUGGCAAAGAAGUGCACCAUCUUCUUGAAAGGGCAUGCAGUAACAUACACCUGGUAAGCCUUUAAGAUUUCGGCUUCUGGUAUGUGCAUCAUUAUAAGAGGGCAAUAUGACGGGUUUCUGGCACCAGCCAACCGCGCCUCUAAGCCAUCAGCGAAGUAAUGAGCUAAUCGCUGGGUUGAAUCACUGUAGGGCGAAGUGUGCUGCCUUAUCUGCUUGAGUAGUUCAUUUGCAGCUUGUUGGUCAUAGCAUGCCACAGCUUCUGCGCAUUCAGUUAGCAGUUUGUACAGGUCUACUACCUUCCCGUUGCUGUUUUGUUUCUUUCCACGUGAUGCUUUUGAUCCUUUUGACUGCUUCUUAUGCUGCAACAUCCCAUUUCCCUUGGAUUGCGAAGGUUCAUCAUGAGAACAAGAGUCAGGUUCAUGGUUCACACUCUGUAGUACCGUAUCAUAUAUUUCUUGCAGAUCAGAACUGUCACAAGCAGCAGCUGACUGCUUGUUUCUUCUUCCUUCUUCUGUGUCAUAGCCAUCCUCCCGCUGAUGAUUCUUCUUUCCCUUUGAUCCAUUUGUUGAGUUGUAGCCAUUCUUCGAUGCCAAAUUCCCAAUCAGUUUGCAAGGACCUGGAGGCCACUGAUCAGAACCUGAAGGCACUAACUGGUCCCUCUUAGGGUCAAUGAUUUCACAACUUUUUUUUGGAACGAACUUGAUUCCUUCCUCUACAGAAAACGAAUCCGGAACGUUAAGGGUAUCCGAUAUAGGCUCAAAGAGUGAAGACUGGACAUGACAGAGUUGUGAAACAUCCCAACCACAGCCGCUAUUAGCAGAAAUAUAGCCAUUACUGCUAUAAAAACUGGCAAUAGAGCCAUCACUGCUAUGAAAACCGACAUCGGAAUUCUCAAAGCUUUGGUACACAGAAAAAGUGGGUUGGUUGAGUAAAGGAGGGUUUUCCGAAUUAAGGGCAUCAUGAAAAGAUUUUUCAGCAAUUUGGAGGGCCAAGGAUUGCUGCAACUUGCAGGCCUUACCCUCCAAAUCUUCCUCCAGAAGAAUAUCACUUAUGUACUUGAGCACAGGUUGAUUGCAAUCACUGAUGUCGAUAUUAUCAGCAUCCGAACCCGCGCUCAAAGAAGUUCUUGAAACACUAGGAUGAUCUAAGUUGGAUGGAAGGGAAUUUGGGUUGGUGGAUUCAUGAUUCUCUUUGAACCCAUCUGCAAGAUUCUCAUCAGAACAGACUGAAUUCGAGCCAUUGCCGAAUUCAAAUCCUUCAGUGGGGGCAGAAAAUCUUUCAAUAUCCAUGAAAACAAACUAUCUAGCAGGAUUAGCUCAAAAUUCUUAAUUUUCAAGGCUCAAAAGUGAUGAAAUUUGGAAUUGAUAAAUAAAAAAAGGAAUUAAAGAAGGAAAAACUAAGAAAUAUUGCAGAGUACCUGAUUACUUGUGGAACAGUACACUGAUCAGACAGAUGCUAUUUUUUAUUUUAAAAUAAAAUCUGCGGAAACAUCAUCAUACUGCAUAUUUUAAUGAAACUUCUGGCAAGGUCUGAAUUCAAAAGUUUGACAAAGUCAGUAGUCAAAUUUUAAUAAAAUUGCAGUCCAUAUAGAUUAUAGAGUAAGGCUGCUUUAACUCCUGUCAUGGUAGGUGGGUGGUCAAGAGUCAAUUGGACCAUAAACAUAAAAAUCAACUUUGCAGGGGCCAAUCAACAAAUUAGGUAAGUCCUUGCCUGUCAAUCUAUACCUUUCCUGGGUUCCCAACAUAAUUUUCUAUUCAAAGUUUUUGCAAGGGUGAAAAUUGACCGUGUCAAUUAUAAGGUAUGAAAAGAUUGAAAUUUGAUUACAACCAAUACAAAACAAAUAAAUAAAAAUAAGGGUACUAAAAGUAAAACCUAGAAAAUUCUAAUCAGUCAUAUUUUGCUUCUGCUAUGAUGUAAGAUCUCACAUCAACUAACAGAGAGGGGAUGAUGUGCCUUGUAUGUACAUGCUCCCCUCCCUAUAGCACGAGGCCUUUUGGGAACUCACUGGCUCUGGAUUCCACAAGAACUCUAAAGUUAAGUGAGUUUGGGUGAGAGCAGUUCUAGGAUGGGUGACCUCUCUGGGAAGUUCUCGUGCUGAAACCCAAAAACAAAAUCGUGAGGGAAUGGUAAGCCUAGAGCGGACAAUAUCGUGCUACGGCGGAGCUGAGCUGGGAUGUGACAAUUUGGUAUCAAAGCCACUCUGCUGUUCGGUGCGGGUGUGCCGAGGAGGACAUCGAGCCUUUAAGGGGGUGGAUUGUGAGAUUCCACAUCACCUAGGGGAUAGGAUCCUAUAUGCCUUAUAUGUACAUGCUCACCUCCCAUUUGCAAGACACGUUUUGGGAACUCACUAGUUCUGGAUCCCAUACUAACUCAGAAGUUAAGUGACUUUGGGCGAGAGCAGUCCUAUGAUGGGUGACCCCCCGGGAAGUUCUCGUGCUGAAACCCAGAAACAAAAUCGGGGGGUCAUCCAUCCUAGGAUUGCUCUCGCCCAAACUCACUUAACUUCGAAGUUCUUAUGGGAUUCGGAGCCAGUGAAUUCCCAAAACGCGUCUUGCAAGAGCCACUCUGUCAUUCGGUGUGGGUGUGCCGAGGAGGACAUCGGGCCCCUAAGGGGGUGGAUUGUGAGAUCCCACAUCGUCUAGGGGAGAGGAUCCUCUAUGCCUUAUAUGUACAUGCUCACCUCCCAUUUGCAAGACGCGUUUUGGGAACUCACUGGCUUCGGAUCCCAUAAGAACUCCGAAGUUAAGUUAGUUUGGGCGAGAGCAAUCCUAGAAUAGGUGACCCUCCUGAGAAGUUCUCGUGCCGAAACCCAAAAACAAAACUGUGAAGGAAUGGUAAGCCUAUAACGAAUAAUAUCGUUCUAUGACCAUAUGAAUUCACCAACAACUAGUAUAACAAUUUUUAGGUUUUUUUUUUCUGUUUAAGUUGCAAUUUUCUUCAUUGCUGCCAUAGAUUUUGGCUUUUUUAAUCAUUGAUUAUCAAGCUUUAUAGAAGUUUGACACUUUGACUGCAGAGUUCUUUUUCUUUCUGAAGUAAUAAUUUGUAUUUGAUUUAGGGGUGGGCACGGGUCAGGCUAGGCCCAAAUUUGAAGGGACAGGACCGGACCCAGGUGCAAAGGAGACGGGUCGGGCCGAGUCAAGGAUUACAUUUUCUUAUAUAGGAACUGGACUUUACCCGGCUCGGUUGAAACAGACCGGUUCAGGUCGGGUCCAUGGGUCCUUGGUUUUUUUUAUUUUUUUGAAAAAUAUAAAAAAACUGGAAUUUACACAAAUUGCAUAGAUUAUGCAAUAGGAAACCCAGAUAAUGCAAGAGGAAAGAUUUUGAAAAAAUUCCAAUUCCAAAACCUAUUUCCAUAUAAAUCUUGAGCAUAAACAUCUCCGAACAAAGCAGAUCAAGACUCAGUAGAUCAAUACUCACAACAGAAACCCAGAUGAUAUAAUCCACAGAAAAUUGAAGCGCAUAGUGAAAUUAACAAAGUUUAAAUAUUUAGCAGAUCAUUAGGUAUAUAGGCAUCACAAGAAAUCCUUAAUAAAUACUAACAAAUCUUGAUAUGAAAGCCCUAAUACGAAGCUAAGAGUGACCUAACACACAUUGAGAGAUCAAUACUCUUCUGCCUUAGCAUCCUCAGCAGCAGUAGAUUCAACUGCAGAGCUCGCAGUCUCGGACUCCGUGGCACCGUUUUGAGCAGCGAAAGCAACGACAUUCCUGGACUUGAUGGUGUCGAGCAUGUGCUUGCUGAUCUCCUUGGAGUAAACUUGCAGGAUCUUAAUCCCAUCAUCCUCAAUAAGGGGAGGGGACGACGCACUCGAGACGACGAAUGAGAGGUGACAAAUCGAGAAGAUGAGUGGUAGGGUGGCUGGGUUAUGUAAGUCUGGGUCCUUAGGAAGUCAAAUCGAGACGUUGAGAGAGAAGUGACAAAUCAAGAAGAUGGUGGUCGCCUGGGCGAUCGUGCUAUCGAGGUGGUGGAGGGAAGAGGACGACGCACUGGAGACGGCGAGAGAGACUCGAUCGACAGAGUGAGAGUGACAGUUGAAUUCGAUAAGUUUGAGGACAAGCAAACUUAAAACCAACGAUUUAGAUUAGAUGGAGAGAUGAUCUCUUCAAUCUCAUCCGUCCAUUCUAACUACAAACGGGCCGGUCCAGGUACCCACGGUUCCUAUACUUCAGGACUGGCCUGAACCAAAAAUUUCAAAGGCUCAUCCCUCCCUGUUUCUGUUUUUACAAAAUAGGAACUGGCCCGUACCUUCCCCGAACCUUAAUUACCCUCCCUGACCCACGGUUCCUGUACUCGUUUGCCCACCCCUAAUUUGAUUCACUGUUUUUAGGCAUUCCCACAUUUGGCGUUAUGAUUAGAUUAGAUUGGAUAACACUGUAGAUUCAAGAGUCCAAGCUGAAGGCAAAAGAGAGAUUAGUUCUAAAAAGAGCAUAUCCCCAAAUCCAAUCCUACCAAUUUAUGGGAAUUGAAAGGAAUGAAUUUCCUUAGUGACUAAUCUACCGAAUUCCCUCAACUUAGACAAAAUGGAAAAGUACACUUGUAUUUCUUACUUCAACGUACCUUAGGUGUAGUGAGUUAUCCAAUCCAAUCCAAUCCAAUCGUAAACACUAAAAUGUCCUAAGAAUUUCAAGUCAUAAGAAGAGUUAAGCGUUUAACAACCAUAUGUUGGCAAAAGAGUGUAUUUAUCAAGAACAGGUUCAAAAUAUUACAUAUCCAAGAUCAAGCUCCCAUAGGCAGCAAUGAAUAAAUGAAAAAUAAACAAUAAACUCAUAAAACCAAGAACAAAGCAGUAUGCACACCCUUGUCCCUGGAUGGAAUAUUACACAAAAAAUUCAACAACAAAGAGAAUAAAGAUUGUAAUAGUUGCCUAGGCCGGCACCCAAAUUGAAAGAGCCAAGAUAGUUCUUCCUCUCCAUGACUGCAACAUCCAGUUCCCGUCUUCGUCAAUCCUAAAAUCAUCAUGAUAAGACUUCAACAUUUUCUUCACUCGCUUCAAAAGAGCUUGGUCUAGUGGGAGCUGCUUGAACCCAGCCCUCACGGUCCGAACCUGCCACUGCUUGUAUGUCUCAGGCCUUUCAACUCUUUCCAGUCCCUCACAAGCUACAACAUUCACUAUGUCUCUACCGUGAAUUGCUUUUUCAAACAACUGACGCAUUUCAUCUUCGCGGGGAACAGUGGCCUCAAAGAUAUCAAAGAAUGCAGAGUAGUGGUAAAGUGCCUCUCUGAACCGUGUGGCAAAGAAGGGUGCAUUGUAUGUCCCAUUGACAACCCCAUGAAUGAAAACGUCUGGAUUAAUUUUCUUGAUUAACUUCAGCACAAUAUCUCUUGGACUGCUUGCCAUCACCGUCUCAUCAGGUAUAUGCUUUAAACGGCACAUACAAUUGACCACAGUCAGCUCACUUCUGUCAAUUUUAAGAUCCUCAAAUUUGAUUGUCUCCCAUUUCUGAGCAAUGACAUUGCACUCAAAUGGAACAUUAAAUCUCUCAGCAUAUUUUUUCAACCGACGCGCAGUCUCUUCAACUCUUUCUGUAGGUCGAAAACCUGGUUGGGGAAGCUCAAUUGCUGUGAUACGAAGCUUAGGCGGUCCACCAGUUCUCUCCGAGAGAUGUUGGAUAAAGCAGGGCCAUUGGAAACCAUACGAAAUACCAAAGUCAAUAAUGUGAAGCCUUGU
rnacentral:lncRNA from 1 species